rnacentral:lncRNA from 1 species
AGAAAAAAGAAAAUAGCAACAAAAAAAGAAAAAAAAAGGUUAAAAAUGAUGAAAGGGUGGACAUGUAACCACCACAUACGCAUAUACAUUGGAAUUAAGGGGCUGCACGUGGCAAAAGGAAGCAGGUGCACGAGUAUGUUACAGUUACAGCAGCAUGUCACGGCCUGGAUGAAUGGAAAUUGAGGAAGCGUAUUGUGAUUGAGGGAAUGUAACAGAGGGGAUUCACAGGAUUCAAUCCCAGGGCUGACCACAUAACAGAAAGCAGUUUUUCUCCUUCACCACACAUCCGUAAUCAACCACACCAUGCCUCAUGACCACACCCGUAACCACCUAAUCAGAUUGGCCUUUUUGAUUCCCAAUUCCUUAUCUCCAACAGAUCGAUCACUUAACAGGGCUCAAUCUUUUUCUUCACCUUCAACAUCAAAAAACCACGACACCACUCAUCACAAAUGGAAUUGAUUCCUCCAUUCACUCAAUGAAAAAAACACACCAUCCGAAACCAAUUCCUCCAUUUUUCACGCAAUAAAGAUCACCUUCACCAUCCACAUUCACCCAUGACCGUAACCAUCUAACCACUCACAGAUCCUAUCAACAACCUUCCACCAUGUUGAUCUCAAUCAAAUCUCCAUUUAUUUUUGUUCUCCUAUUUUCCCUGCAUUGAAAACAAAAAAAACAGAGAACCCAUUUUCAACUCCAAAAACCCCAACCAUCUCCAUUCACGGUCUCCCACACCGUCAUCACCCUUCCACCACCUUGAUUCUCAUCAAAUCUCCAACCAACUUCAAUUUCUAUAUUCACUCUUCAUUAUCCCCCAACGCCAUCUUCCCUCACGCUCAAACUCUCUCACCCUCUGUGUAUACACAAAACCCAAUCAAAGCAUAAAAACAAAGGGAGAAGAGUGAUAAUCGCUGGCAACAUCAAUUGCAGUGAGGGUGGUCACUGGCGGUGGCGAGAGUGCAUUACGGAGGAACACUAACGGAGGCACUGACGGAACCUCUGGCGGCAGCGUUGACGAUGGUUGAACGACGGGAGA